rnacentral:rRNA from 1 species
UGACUGACUGAAGAGUUUGNUCCUGGCUCAAGAUGAACGCUGGCGGCGUGCCUAACACAUGCAAGUCNAGCGAUUUACUUCGGUAAAGAGCGGCGGACGGGUGAGUAACGCGUGGGUAACCUGCCCUGUACACACGGAUAACAUACCGAAAGGUAUGCUAAUACGAGAUAAUAUGCUUUUAUCGCAUGGUANAAGUAUCAAAGCUUUUGCGGUACAGGAUGGACCCGCGUCUGAUUAGCUANUUGGUAAGGUAACGGCUUACCAANGCGACGAUCAAGUAGCCGACCUGAGAGGGUGAUCGGCCACAUUGGAACUGAGACACGGUCCANACUCCUACNGGAGGCAUCAGUGGGGAAUAUUGCACAAUGGGCGAAAGCCU